GCAAACAUACCUUUAUCGGGCCGAUAUCGGCUAAAUGUCGGAAUAUCGAAGUCGGCUUUCCGCCGUCGAACCGAUAUAUAUCCGAUAUAGACAAACUUGUUAAAGACAGGAUGAUAUCGUCCGAUAUAGGUCCAAUAUACAUUUAUUUCCUGUUAUUCAAUUAAAUGAGUUUUUUAGUAUAUUCUUCUCAAAUUCAUUUCAGCAAGAAAUCGAUGCUUUUGUAUAGAGUAAUUAAGUCGUUUUCAUAAAAAAACUUCGGUGCUAUAUCGGCUCCAUGUCUGUUGCCGAUUUAGUGUAUAAGUGAUUUGCACAACGUGGUAUUUUUCUAGCACACGUGCCAUCAGAAGAAGUUUGCGCCAAAACUAUAAAAAGUGGAGUUUUUCUCAAAUACUACUGGUAAAACAUCUGUCUGUGACAUGACAAACAUACCUGAAUCAGAGUGCUGACAACUGAAAUAGCUGGUUUUGGAGAAAGAAAAUGUCAUUUUAGAAGCUAAAGAUGACCAAUUGAUGCAAUACAGAGUCCUAGGCAACACUUAGAAUGAAAUGUAGUGAUGAAAAAGAGGGCAACAGUCAUCGAGCUGAAAUUCAAUAGCAGGAAAUAGCUCAUCUGGCAAUGGUGGAAAUAAAGAUCUCUAGAAAACUAAACAAUUGAAGAAGUUCAUAUAUAUCUAACCACAA